AUUGCUGUGGGCUGCUGUGUAUUGCCGUGUGUCCUGUCAGAUAAACCCCCGCCUUCACGCACUUCGUCGCGGGAGGACAAGGAGACUGCUGGUCCUAGCCUAGUUCAGUACAGUAUAUGUUGUGCGCGUGCUUCAGAUCUCCGGAGAUAGCACAGUACGCUGUGUCCAGCCCAGAGGUGAAAGCCAUCCAAAGCAGAGUAACUGUGCUUUGCGUCCAAGUUGAUACCUGUGGAGAGGAAAGGAAAGAGAGAUUGAUGCCUGUGGAGAGAAAAGGAGAGAGAGUGAAUAACACGAGAAGGAAUAGAGCGAACCCUGUACUUACAGUACGCUGUGUCCAGCCCAGAGGUGAAAGCCAUCCAAAGCAGAGUAACUGUGCUAUUGUGCCCAAGUUGAUACCUGUGGAGAGAAAAGGAGAGAGAGUGAAUAACACGAGGAGGAAUAGAGCGAACCCUGUACUUACAGUACGCUGUGUCCAGCCCAGAGGUGAGAGCCAUUCAAAGCAAACUAACUGUGCUAGUGUGCCCAAGUUGAUGCCUGUGGAGAAAGAGAAAGAGAGUGAGCACCCAGAGAACGAACUGUGUGAACCAGUACUUACUGUGAGCUGCAAUCAGCGAAGAGGAGGAAGAAGGAGGGCGCUACGGAUACCUAAGACUCAGGCCGGGGCCUGAGUCCC
ensembl:lncRNA